AAUGCCAAAUUGCUUACCAAAAAGCAUGAUAUGAAGUUAUAUCCUCCUAACAAUCUAAUAGCAUCUUAAGCAGACCUGUCGUUAUCAGUGGGCCACUGGACAGGGUUGUGGGGCUGAUGCUUUCUUUAUGGUUCCUCUACAGGAUAUGGUGCCUGUCAUAGUUGAUUACUGCCUUCUGCUGCAGCGAAAGGAUCUUUUAUUUAGUCAGAUGUAUGAUAAAUUAAGUGAGAAUUCAGUGGCCAAAGGAGUAUUUUUGGAGUGCCUUGAGCCAUAUAUUUUAAGUGAUAAAUUGGUGGGAAUCACACCCCAAGUAAUGAAAGACUUGAUUGUUCAUUUCCAAGAUAAAAAAUUAAUGGAAAAUGUGGAAGCGCUCAUUGUACAUAUGGAUAUCACCAGCCUAGAUAUUCAGCAGGUAGUUCUCAUGUGUUGGGAAAAUCGUUUAUAUGAUGCUAUGAUCUAUGUCUACAACAGAGGCAUGAAUGAAUUUAUUAGUCCAAUGGAGAAACUUUUCAGAGUCAUUGCUCCUCCUCUGAAUGCAGGAAAAACGCUAACAGAUGAACAAGUUGUUAUGGGCAAUAAGCUUCUUGUAUAUAUUAGCUGUUGUCUAGCAGGUCGUGCCUAUCCCCUUGGUGACAUCCCUGAAGAUCUUGUUCCCUUGGUUAAAAACCAGGUUUUUGAAUUUCUAAUUCGCCUGCAUUCAGCAGAGGCUUCUCCUGAGGAAGAAAUCUAUCCUUACAUUCGGACUUUGCUACAUUUUGACACAAGAGAAUUUCUUAAUGUAUUGGCACUGACUUUUGAAGACUUUAAAAAUGACAAGCAAGCUGUGGAAUAUCAACAGCGAAUUGUGGAUAUUUUGUUGAAAGUUAUGGUGGAGAAUUCAGACUUUACCCCCUCACAAGUAGGAUGUCUCUUUACCUUCCUUGCUCGGCAGCUUGCAAAGCCUGACAACACCUUGUUUGUAAACAGAACACUUUUUGAUCAGGUCCUUGAAUUCCUUUGUAGUCCUGACGAUGACUCCCGACACUCUGAAAGACAGCAGGUCCUUUUAGAGUUGCUGCAGGCUGGAGGCAUAGUUCAAUUUGAAGAGAGUCGACUCAUCCGGAUGGCAGAAAAAGCUGAGUUCUAUCAAAUUUGUGAAUUUAUGUAUGAAAGAGAACACCAAUAUGACAAAAUUAUUGAUUGCUACUUACGUGACCCUCUGAGAGAGGAAGAAGUCUUUAAUUACAUUCACGAUAUCUUAUCCAUUCCCGGACACAGUGCAGAGGAGAAGCAGUCUGUAUGGCAGAAAGCAAUGGAUCAUAUUGAGGAACUUGUGUCCCUGAAGCCUUGUAAAGCUGCGGAGCUGGUUGCCACCCACUUUUCUGGACAUAUUGAAACGGUUAUUAAAAAACUUCAGAACCAGGUUUUGCUUUUCAAAUUUUUGAGGAGUCUUCUUGACCCAAGGGAAGGUAUUCAUAUAAAUCAAGAAUUACUGCAAAUAUCUCCUUGUAUCACAGAGCAGUUCAUUGAGCUGUUGUGUCAGUUCAGCCCAUCCCAAGUUAUAGAGACUCUGCAAGUCCUUGAGUGCUACCGUCUGGAAGAAACUAUUCAGAUUACUCAGAAGUAUCAACUUCAUGAAGUCACUGCUUAUCUAUUGGAAAAGAAAGGAGAUAUUCAUGGUGCCUUCCUAAUAAUGUUAGAGAGACUACAAAGCAAACUUCAAGAGAUAACACAUCAAGGUGAAAAUACCAAAGAGGAUCCCUCAUUGAAGGAUGUUGAAGAUACUAUGGUGGAGACCAUUGCUCUUUGCCAGAGAAAUUCACAUAAUUUGAACCAGCAGCAACGUGAGGCACUUUGGUUUCCAUUAUUGGAGGCAAUGAUGGCCCCUCAGAAGCUGUCCAGUUCAGCCAUUCCUCAUCUACACUCUGAAGCUCUGAAAUCUUUGACCAUGCAAGUUUUAAAUAGCAUGGCAGCAUUUAUUGCCCUUCCAUCAAUCUUGCAAAGAAUCUUACAGGAUCCAGUUUAUGGAAAAGGAAAACUUGGAGAAAUCCAGGGACUUAUCUUGGGAAUGUUAGAUACCUUUAACUAUGAACAAACCCUGCUGGAAACAACAACUAGCCUUCUAAACCAAGAUCUCCACUGGUCAUUGUGUAACCUGAGAGCUUCGGUCACCAGAGGACUGAAUCCCAAACAAGAUUACUGCUCUAUAUGUUUGCAGCAGUACAAGAGACGCCAAGAAAUGGUUGAUGAAAUUAUUGUCUUUAGCUGUGGCCAUUUGUAUCACUCAUUCUGCCUACAAAACAAAGAAUGCACUGUGGAAUUUGAGGGCCAAACAAGAUGGACAUGCUACAAAUGCAGUUCAAGUAACAAAGUAGGAAAACUCAGUGAAAAUUCAUCUGAAAUUAAAAAGGGAAGGAUAACGCCAUCACAGGUAAAAAUGUCUCCAUCGUAUCAUCAGUCCAAAGGGGAUCCCACUGCUAAAAAGGGAACCUCAGAACCUGUUCUGGAUCCACAGCAAAUCCAAGCAUUUGAUCAGCUUUGCCGUCUCUACCGAGGAAGCUCCAGGCUGGCUCUCCUCACGGAACUCUCCCAGAAUCGCAGCAGCGAGAGCUAUAGGCCAUUCAGUGGCUCGCAGAAUGCUCCUGCUUUCAACAGCAUCUUCCAGAAUGAGAACUUCCAGCUACAGCUCAUUCCCCCACCUGUGACUGAGGAUUGAUGACUCCGUGGAGCCUGGCCCAGGAGAACCAGAGAUGAUCCCAAGGCAGCUGGGGAGAGGCCCCGCCUCUGGUGGGCUUGGCCUCCACCGCCUCCCACGCUUCUGAGAAGAGGCUCCAAAUUGGGCUCCUGUGCCCAGAGCGUCCACAGCACCAUUCCCAGUGUAGACUCCCAGUCUUCUCCACAUUGUUGUCAUGGCGUCAGUUCACCAGACUCAUUGAUUUUGUUUUGCUUGUUAAGCAAAGGAAUGUCACAUACCUCUGUCCAGCUUUUUAGGAAAUACAUUU
rnacentral:sRNA from 1 species